UGGGGAAUUUUUGGCAAUGGGGGAAACCCUGACCAAGCAACGCCGCGUGGAUGAUGAAGUCUCUUGGGACGUAAAAUCCUUUCGACGGGGAAGAAAGCCGCAAGGCCUGACGGUACCCGUAGAAGAAGCCCCGGCUAACUCCGUGCCAGCAGCCGCGGUAAUACGGGGGGGGCAAGCGUUGUUCGGAAUUACUGGGCGUAAAGGGCGCGUAGGCGGUUUGCUAAGUUGGAUGUGAAAACUUUGGGCUUAACCCAGAGCCUGCAUCCAAAACUAGCAGACUAGAGUUCUGGAGGGGGUAGCGGAAUUCCUGGUGUAGCGGUGAAAUGCGUAGAUAUCAGGAGGAACACCGGUGGCGAAGGCGGCUACCUGGACAGAAACUGACGCUGAGGCGCGAAAGCUAGGGGAGCAAACAG
rnacentral:rRNA from 1 species